CCAAAAUAGCAAUGAGUUGAAAUCCCAAGACUUGUAAUUGUGGAAAUCGUAAACGAUGACCGUAAGAAGCGCCAACAACAGGGCAGCCGUCGCGAGAAGGCUUAGCCACGCUAUCGACCGAAACGUCUUAAUAAAUAACUGUAUCUCCCUCCUUCGUACAAACAAUCCACCAUGAUAUGAGCCGUGUACGUAAAUAUGAUCGGGACGAGUAUAAACCCCAGAGCUCCGGCGAGUCCCCCUCGUGCUACUGCGUACGAAAAUCAUCAGUGUCGCAUGGCGAGCUUCGAUAAGCACCUAUGGCGUCACGGUUAAUUGAAUUAAAGGGCUGGGAUCCAUCGGCAAGUCAUGUCAACAGUCGAUGAUGUAGACGUCUUCCACCAUCUGAUGUGUCUAGGAAUAGCUAUUGGCGCGCUGAUUUCCCCGACAGAUCUAAGCGAGAUUUGUGAUAAACUAAACCAGGCAAAGGCAUCCCAUACCACAGCGUAUACCAAGCCCACGUUUAGUGCAUUAAGAGACCAAACACAGGUAUACCAAGCCCUUUGUGCAUUACGAGACCAGGCACAGGUAUACCAAGCCCACGUUUUGUGCAAUAAGAGACCAAGCACACACUGUAAAACCGGAAUGGUUAAAUCAACCAAAAAAAAUUGGUUAAAAUUUGAUUCUGUGGUAACCAAUUUAGAACUGGUUGUUUGAACCAGUUUUAAAUGGUUGUUUUAUUUGGUUAAUUUAACCAAUAUGUAAUUGGUUAUUUUCACUAUAGUAAAUGGUUAUUCCAACCAAUAUACAUUGGUUAUUUUACCAAUAAAUAUUGGUUAAUUCAACCAUAAAAAAUGGUUAAACAAAUGAGUCUGUGGUAACCAAAUAAAAUUGGUUAAAAAAGCAGGAUUUAACCAAUUAUAAAUUGGUUCAAAUAACUAACUCUGUCAAGAAAUGACCAGUAAACUUUUGGUUAAAACUACCACACAAGAAUUAUGACAGUAGAUGCGACUUUAAUCAAAGAAUUAUACAAGUUUCAGCCAACAAGAAUAUACAAACUAAUGAAAAUACCAAGUACUCUAGGUACAUCUUGAUUGUAGGAGAGACAUGGUUGUUUUCUUUUACAUAAUUUUAGGUUUUUUAUAUUUCAUAAACAGUAAAGUACAGUAAUGCAGCCUAAUUUUCCCCUUUGUGAUUUGUCAAGAAAGGCCACCAUUUUUUGUGGGUCCACCAAACUAGAUUUUGGUGAAGUACAAAAAUUAUUUUUGCUUAGCUCUUGAGUUAGAGUUUUAAUCUAUGGGAUCUGAGAAACAAAAAAGUUGGCCUAAUAAUAAGCUUUAAAGACAUUCCUGUUUUGCCGUACUGAUCUCUGUAGCAAACAUGGGGACUUAUCUAUAAGUUGGAAUGCUGCUUGAAACAGUACUUCAGGACACCAUGAAGCUAAUGUUCUGAAGCAACAAAGCAUAAAUCUUAGAACUAGCAGAAUGGCACAAAAAACUGAUCACACAGCACACGAUACACUCAAACUAGCAUUCAACACAUAUUGAUUUAAAGAUAGGCUUCUAUUUUAUAAUACACAUAGUAAUUCAAUGUGUAUAAAGGGUUUAAAAAUUAAGUAGAGCACUACUAACUUGAAUUCUAAAGGAGACAAAAGAGGCCUGAGUAAUAAAGGGUUUGGAAUUACCUUGGUCAAUUUAAAAAGUUAUUUCUAUACAUAUGUUUACACAUAAAAACUAAAACAAAGCUAGUGGUGAGUUUGAGUUAUAUCAGUUUUAAGAGUUAUCAGUUAAAAUUUCUAAAUAAUCUAGUUAUUUCAGCUAGAGUAAUCAGGAAUCUUCUUAUAUUUCUAUGUUUGCAUAGUGCUGCCUUGACAAAUGUUGCUCUUAAGGACAUACAAAUAUGUUUGUCAAUAAUUGAAAUCACUGCCAUGCAAGCAUGCUUUACAAUGUGGCUAAAACAUUUUUAUAAAACGUGAGCAUGUGCACUUGCUAUGAUUACUUAAGAUUAAAGAUGUUCUUAGGAAUUUCAUGCUCUGAAUUGUUAAGUAAGAAGCCUGCAAUAUGUGAAUGUUUCAUGGAAAUGUUUGAUCCCAUUCAAAUGUAAGGGAAUUGUAGAAUGAAGUGCCAUGUUGUACAACUGGUCAGGCCUUAAGAGCAUAGCUGCCAAUCUAACU